rnacentral:rRNA from 1 species
GCAUAGGUUAUGUGCCCCAUAGUCUGGGAUAGCCACUGGAAACGGUGAUUAAUACCGGAUACUCCUUACGAGGGAAAGUUUUUCGCUAUGGGAUCAGCCUAUGUCCUAUCAGCUUGUUGGUGAGGUAAUGGCUCACCAAGGCUAUGACGGGUAUCCGGCCUGAGAGGGUGAACGGACACACUGGAACUGAGACACGGUCCAGACUCCUACGGGAGGCAGCAGUAGGGAAUAUUGCUCAAUGGGCGAAAGCCUGAAGCAGCAACGCCGCGUGGAGGAUGAAGGUUUUAGGAUUGUAAACUCCUUUUGUUAGAGAAGAUUAUGACGGUAUCUCACG